GACACCUUCAGCUUGAAAGUGAGGUGAUGCAGAAUCAUCUGUCAUGCUACUGGGAGUCAAAAGAAGCUAGAGUAGUCAUACUUAUAUCAGACAAACUAGAUUUUAAUCUAAGGUAGUUAUGAGAUGAA